GACCUUGGCUCUCUGGAUUAUCAGGAGCUUGUAGUUGACAUUGAGUCCAGGCUGAGGAUGGAAGGUGUUGAACUUAAGGAAGAAUGGCAAGAUGAAGAUUUUCCAAUACCUUUACCGGAAGAUGAUAGUAUUGAAGCAGAUAUUUUAGCUGUAACUGGACGAGAGAGUCAGCCCGGCUCACUAGAAGUUAAUGGCAAUAAAGUGAGAAAGAAACUAAUGGCUCCUGACAUUAGCCUAACCCUGGAUCCUAGUGAUGGCUCUGUGUUGUCAGAUGAUUUGGAUGAAAGUGGGGAGAUUGACUUAGAUGACUUAGAUACACCAUCGGAGGACAGUAAUGAAUUUGAGUGGGAAGAUGAUCUUCCGAAACCCAAGACUACUGAAGUUAUUAGGAAAGGCUCAAUUACUGAAUAUACAGCAGCAGAGGAAAAAGAAGAUGGACGACGCUGGCGUAUGUUCAGAAUUGGAGAACAGGACCACAGGGUUGAUAUGAGAGCAAUUGAACCCUAUAAAAAAGUUAUCAGCCACGGAGGAUAUUAUGGGGAUGGAUUAAAUGCCAUUGUUGUGUUUGCUGUCUGUUUUAUGCCUGAAAGUGGUCAACCUAACUAUAGAUACCUGAUGGACAAUCUCUUUAAGUACGUUAUUGGCACUUUGGAGCUGUUAGUAGCAGAAAACUACAUGAUCGUUUAUUUAAAUGGUGCAACAACUCGAAGAAAAAUGCCCAGUCUGGGAUGGCUCAGGAAAUGCUAUCAACAAAUUGAUAGAAGGUUACGGAAAAACCUAAAGUCUUUAAUCAUUGUACAUCCCUCUUGGUUUAUCAGAACACUUCUGGCUGUUACAAGACCAUUUAUUAGCUCAAAAUUCAGCCAAAAAAUUAGAUACGUCUUUAAUUUGGCAGAACUAGCGGAACUUGUCCCCAUGGAAUAUGUUGGAAUACCAGAAUGCAUAAAACAGUAUGAAGAAGAAAAGUUAAAAAAGAAACAGAAAAGAGUUGAUCAAGAGCUUAAUGGAAAACAAGAUGAACCGAAAAGUGAACAGUAAGUUUGGCAUCUAGUCCAAACACGACUGAAGAAUGUGCUGAUGAAGCAGUGCUUUUUUGCAUUUAUAAUGCAUUUAUUGGUCCUGAUUUUUAUGUAACCUGUUACAAAACUGACUUGACUUCUUCUUAAUGGACUUUUGUAUAAGGGACUGUUCACUGCUGUACUGGUUUGCAGAUCUCUUGAAUUUAGCUCUUUACUAGCUAAUUAUAUUGUAAUCAUUUUAUAUUUUAUAUUGCUAAAUAGCAGAGCACCACACUUUAUAUAAAGCAGUUUUUGCAUUUGUUUAUUAAAUGAUGCAUUUUCUUCAGUAAAAUAUUUAUAUGCCUAAAUGGAAAAGGAAAGAGAUAAUAUAUAUUUUUAUGUUUUUGAGCAAUAUUUUUUAAUGUAUACCUUUCUUAUGGAAGAAUAUGCAGGUAAAUAAGACCAUGAUUUUGUAAAAUGCAUGUUAAAAUUUUUGUUUUUGUAAAUGGUUAAGUACACUUCCUGGGUCACUUAGAAAAUAUGCUCAUAAGGUGAGGGACAGUUAAACUGGUUCUCAUGAAUACCCAAAGGUCAUAUACAUAAUCUAAGUAGAUUAGUACCAUUCUGAGUUUUUUUCUCUCUUAACAUUUAUUUCUUAAUUCAGACACAAAUACAGGUGUAUUGCACACUUUUUUUUUUAAACAUAAAGACAAGUCAAAAAGCCAUUUUUAGAAUUAGAGAAUUUAAGAGGUUAAGAAUUGGGGUUUGUAUAUAUGUAUAUAUCAGACAUUUUAUCUUCUGGCCAAAAGUCAGAAGCUCAUAAAAAUUUUAGGUUUGUUCACUAAUGUGAAAUAAGCUGUGUGUCCAGGGUAUCACUCUCCUGAAUUUGUGUGAGUACAGUGUAAUAUUCAGAGAAUGUGAUGAGUUAUUCACUGUCACUACUUUUCUUUAGAAAAUAGGGGCUGCUUUUUUAACUACUUUCAAUGUGGGCACUUUACCAAAAUACUUUCAUAUCAGGUGUUUGACCCAGUCAGAUAAGGUGUGUUUUCCCAUUUUCUGUUGAAUUAUGUUGACAGUACUGUAAAUUAAGUUAUUUUGUAAGUCUUAGAGCAUCAUCAUAUUAUGGUGUUUUGCGUUUGGUGUAAGCAUAAAACUCUUUGUUUAAUUUGGUAAGUACCUUGACUCUACAUUGAAAUUGUAUUUAUGCCCCAGAUGGAACUUAAUUACCCACAAAAUCAUACAAAAACAACAGGUUGGUCUAAUACUGUGUCAUAUACUUGUGUGACUUAUACAUUUGGUAAACUUAGUACCUGCCUGAUUUAAGGGUCACACCACACUCCAGCCCUUCUUAUAAGGUAAUUUACAAAAGAGUAGUAAAAUUGAGGUGCAGGAGCUAAACCUCUAGGAUUUAUUCUAUCCUAGACUGGCUUUUAUCAUUGCUGUUUUUAGUGUAAAGUUUUCUAUUACAAAAGAGAAUUUCCUUUACUUUUUGUCCUCCUCAGUCAUAAACUUGACACAGUAACCCAAGUCCAAUUAUGGCAGAUGCUGGAGGAUUCCCAGGAUGAAACUUUCUUCAGCAGCCUCCUGACUUCACUUGGAUCCAGCUGCUGUAGGCAGAUCCUGAACUAAUGUCAUUAUAGUCAAUAAAGCUAAAACCAUUAUUGCUUGCUCAGAUCUUAGAAAUACUUUGUGUUCAAAAAGCAAACUAACAGUAACAGUUUAGGCAUUCCUUCUGAACUUACGAAUAAAAGAUCAUAUUGAAUUUAAUUGUGAUUAGAGUCUAUAUUUGUAGAGUGCUUUCAGUGACCUUUCAUCAGUAAAAGUAGUCUUUCAUCUAUAAAUUUGUGUCUCAGUCAAACCUGGCUGAGCUUUUUAAAUAGGUGGCUUUCCUCUACAUUAAGUACCCAGUUCUUCAGUUUCAACACGUUACUGUUUAUUGACUUUUGCAUUUGCAAGCAUUGUCCCUGAUUAUAGAUACAACUCGUUGCAAAAGUGGCGCAUUUUCCUACAUAUUUUUUUAAAGUAGAGGUAGCCUAUAUUCUAUGAGAACAUUAAAAUUUAGAGGGAACGGUGGUAACAUUUGGGAUAUAACCAAAGGGAUUUGCUGUGAAUCACUAGAUUUAAAAGGAUACCUGUUCUAACCUAUAGCUUGAUGAAAUCUGGUAUAGGGACAUGCCCUGUAAUGUUUCAUAGCUAUGAGACUUAAGAUCAUAACAAGUAGGUCAGAGGAAAAGCAUUUAUUAAACUGGUUAUUUGUAAUUACUAGCUAUGUGACAUUUUCUCCAUAUCAUUCAGUUUUAAUUUUCCAUUACUGAUUGAGGUGAAAGUACAUAUAACUGUUAUUUUAUCUUUCUGCUGGGAUCAUGGUUCUAACUUGUUUAAUUUGAUGCUUAUGCCACUAUUUUUUGUUGUGUUUGGGUUCUGAGUGCCUCUUUUUAGUCAAAAGUUUCUCUUAUAAAGUAAUCUGAUUGUGUUCUGCUUGGUCAUAUUCCUUAUUAGCACCAAGGGAAGACACUAUAUUUAUCCCACAGUUUAAGCUUAAUAAUAGUCUUUAACUGGGGGUGGGGGGAGUAUAAAGAAAUAUGAUUCCAAGUAGGGCCUAGCAGGACCUGGAAAGGAAGAUAACAAAACAAGGAAGUAAGAGAAAGAAAACUAUAAAGGGAUAAUGAGUUAGCUAAGAUUCCACUGAAUGUGUCCUUGUUAAGGGAAGUGCUGUAUAUGGCAGCGGUUGGUACCAUUUCUUGUAUCAAUCAGGAAAACCUGCAGGCUGCAUACAGAAUAUGUGAAUAAGGAGACUGUGGAGAGGAGGGGGCAAAGGCUGAUAAUACUUACAAUGAAAAUUCAUAUUUUCCUCUGCUUUGUCUCUUCAUACAAAAGCAAGUUUAAACAGGGAGAGUCAGCAAUUACAAUGCUCAGAUUAAAGUGUAGGGUUACGUUACUUUUGACAUUCAUAGCUGGUAAACAUUUAAUGUAUUGUUCCAAAAUGGACAUCACUCUUUAGUAACUAUACUGAAUACUGAAAUUUGCUGAUUGACAGGUAUAUAUAGGUUGCUAGACUUUCUUCAGCUGCAAUUCCAGAAUUUAAAAAGCGAACCUGGUGAAUUACUUGGGAGCUAAACCUGUUUAGCGGCCUGAGGCUUGGAAACUGCGGCCCCACGCUCCUCCCUCCACAUC